CGGGGUGUGGCGCAGCCUGGCAGCGCGCUUCGUUCGGGUCGAAGAGGUCAUGGGUUCAAAUCCCGUCACCCCGA
rnacentral:tRNA from 1 species